rnacentral:rRNA from 1 species
UACGGAGGAUCCGAGCGUUAUCCGGAUUUAUUGGGUUUAAAGGGUGCGCAGGCGGGGGAUUAAGUCGGCGGUGAAAUUUUGCAGCUCAACUGUAAAAGUGCCUUCGAAACUGGUUUCCUUGAGUGUAGAUGAAGUAGGCGGAAUUUGUGGUGUAGCGGUGAAGUGCAUAGAUAUCACGAGGAACUCCGAUUGCGCAGGCGGCUUACUAAACUACUACUGACGCUCAGGCACGAAGGCGUGGGGAUCAAACAGGAUUAGAUACCCCUGUAGUCCCUGA